GGGGAAUGCAUCAAGAUUGACAUGUCUCACAAGCAAGUAGAUGGUCAAGGAAGAGUAAUUCGUAGAUUUAGACAAACGAGAGUCGAAGUUAGUUACCAUUCCCGACCCGAUCAGAUAUUGCAUAGUCUUCUCGAAGUUAGUUACUCAUCCGUUGCAAUUGCUCCACCUAAUCACAAGUUCCACAAUGAGUGCUGCUGAGGAUGGAUAUAUUCAUUAACGUAUGUUUGUAACUAACCUUGAGAAUUGGCCUCCAAUGAAGCUCAGCAAAGACAUAGCAUUCACUUGUCAAUUUUGAGCACAAAC
rnacentral:lncRNA from 1 species